GACGUAGGGCGCGAGCGUUGUCCGGAUUUAUUGGGCGUAAAGAGCUCGUAGGCGGCUUGUCGCGCCGAAUGUGAAAACUCGGGGCUCAACUCCGAGCUUGCAUUCGAUACGGGCAGGCUAGAGUUCGGUAGGGGAGACUGGAAUUCCUGGUGUAGCGGUGAAAUGCGCAGAUAUCAGGAGGAACACCGAUGGCGAAGGCAGGUCUCUGGGCCGAUACUGACGCUGAGGAGCGAAAGCGUGGGGAGCGAACAGG
rnacentral:rRNA from 1 species